rnacentral:rRNA from 1 species
UUCCGGUUGAUCCCGCCAGAGGUUACUGCUAUCGGUGUUCGCCUAAGCCAUGCGAGUCAUAUGUAGCAAUACAUGGCGUACUGCUCAGUAACACGUGGAUAACCUGCCCUUGGGACCGGCAUAACCCCGGGAAACUGGGGAUAAUUCCGGACAACGCAUACUUGCUGGAAUGCUUUAUGCGUCAAAAGGAUUCGUCUGCCCAAGGAUGGGUCUGCGGCCUAUCAGGUAGUAGUGGGUGUAAUGUACCUACUAGCCAGCGACGGGUACGGGUUGUGAGAGCAAGAGCCCGGAGAUGGAUUCUGAGACAUGAAUCCAGGCCCUACGGGGCGCAGCAGGCGCGAAAACUUUACAAUGCGGGAAACCGUGAUAAGGGGACACCGAGUGCCAGCAUCAUAUGCUGGCUGUCCGGAUGUGUAAAAUACAUCCGUUAGCAAGGGCCGGGCAAGACCGGUGCCAGCCGCCGCGGUAACACCGGCGGCCCGAGUGGUGAUCGUGAUUAUUGGGUCUAAAGGGUCCGUAGCCGGUUUGGUCAGUCCUCCGGGAAAUCUGAUAGCUUAACUAUUAGGCUUUCGGGGGAUACUGCCAGACUUGGAACCGGGCGAGGUAAGAGGUACUACAGGGGUAGGAGUGAAAUCUUGUAAUCCCUGUGGGACCACCUGUGGCGAAGGCGUCUUACCAGAACGGGUUCGACGGUGAGGGACGAAAGCUGGGGGCACGAACCGGAUUAGAUACCCGGGUAGUCCCAGCCGUAAACGAUGCUCGCUAGGUGUCAGGCAUGGCGCGACCGUGUCUGGUGCCGCAGGGAAGCCGUGAAGCGAGCCACCUGGGAAGUACGGCCGCAAGGCUGAAACUUAAAGGAAUUGGCGGGGGAGCACAACAACGGGUGGAGCCUGCGGUUUAAUUGGAUUCAACGCCGG